CUGGAGAAAUUGAAUCCUGCCAAAACAGCAUGAACGAGCGUGGAAGGGGACCCAUCCCCAGUUGAGCCUUGAAGUCACAGCAGCUCUGGCCAACAUUUUGAUUUUAGACUGUAAGAAACCUUGAGCAAGAGGACCCAGGAGUGAAUCAGGAGGAGCAGAGUCAGAGAAGGUGUGAUGAUGCAAGCAGAGGUCAGAAUGAUAUGAAGAAAGGGCUACAAGCCAAGGAGUUGGGUGAUCUCCAGAAGAUGGAAAAGGCAAAGAAACGGAUUUCUCCCUAGAGCUUCCCAAAGGAGCAGGACCCUACAGGCAGAUCUUAUUAUUUCUGAUCUCCGGAAUGGUAAGGAUCUGGACUUCUCCAGCAUUCACAGAUUUCCCUUUCGAUGACCCCUAUUUGAUGAAUGAACUUGGAUGCAAGCAUCACAGAAAGAAACUGACUGCUAUCAUGGCGUGACAAGCAACGGACACACGAUCUUGGGUCACUACAUCUGAGUGCCCAAACCUAGAGGCUGGGAAUGACAGUCCUGGGUGUUUGCACCUCCUAUGGGAAGAGAAGCCUUCCACCAAGACUCACAAGGUAGGAGAGUCCUCUCACUGCCAGUUUCACAGGAAAAUAUUAGUCUCUUGGUCUUACUUUAAUUUGCAUUUACUUGUUUGCUAGAGAGGAUGGAUCUUUUGGCUAGAACUAUCGGUAGUUUGUGAUUUUUCUUUUGUUAACUCCUUAACCAUCUUUUGAUGCCUUUUCUAUAGGAAUAUUUCUAUUGGGGCAUAUAUCUGUCUUUUUUGUAAGUACUACUUUUAACAGCCCAUGAACACUUUGACAGCCAAAUAUGUUUUAUCUUUCCCCCAAUUUGACCUUUAACUUCAUUUAGGUAUUUUUUCUUUUCCCUUCAGCACUCCUGAGGGCAUGUGGAAAGCCUACUGCCGAAACUGUGGGUUAGAAGUAGAUUGGUUAGUUAAGAGUGCAUUCUACAAUGACCUUACUUUGAUGUGCUUCCAUGUUGUAAGAAAGUGAAAAAAUGAAGUGGCUUCUUAUUCAGGGUAGUGGAGUUUUUUAAAAAGGUAUGCUACUGUAGAUCUGACAUUUGAAUCUCCAUAGCAAAAACUCCCUUUAUUUCUAGACUGUGUGCAUGACCUCAGAGUGGUGGGAGGGAUGUAGGAAAAUACUGAAGAAAAGUGGAGAACGCUAAUGUUGCCGGAGAAAGACAGUGAAAUACUCGAUUAUGACUUUGCAUUGACUGGAAGAAGUUGCUUCUGAAUCUCUCGCAUGUUGUAGUUGGCAUUGUAAGAGCUGGUCACUUGCUAAGUGUGAAGAACCAGGGGUGGGCAAGGCUGGGGAAAUGCAGCAUGCAACACUCCAGAAGGGCAGCAGAAGGAGUUGAAAAUCUGCAGGGAACAGGUGCCUCUCAGCAGUGCUGAGAAAAAGGCGCAAGAACUAAUAACCACGGAUUCCCGACAGGAAUGGUGUGGGCGUAGCCUCUGCUUCACCCCAUCAGGAAGGGAAAGAUUCCCGCCCUGGGAUUGUGGGGAUGGCUGUGACAGCCGACACCGAACCGAUGAGAUCAACAACAGUUUACUGGCCACGCACACUUAGCUUGGGAGAGGACACUCCAUGCCACACAGGGCCACAUGGGGGUUGCACUUAGGGUCAGAGUGAACAAGCAGGGGCUGGAGGAAGCAGACCUUGUAUCAAGAGCAUGAGGUGCCACCUAAUUCCCAAAGGAGGAUGUGACUGGCUUGUUUGAAUAAUUCUGGGGGCGCCUGGGUAGCUCAGUCAGUUAAGUGUCUGAGUUCCGCUCAGGUCAUGAUCCCAGAGUCCUAGGAUCGAGUCCCCCAUCAGGCUCCUUGCUUAGCAGGGAGUCUGCUUCUCCCUCUGCCCCUCCUCCUGCUCAUGCUUUCUCUCUCUCUCUCUCUCUCUCUCAUUCUCUCAAAUAAAUAAAUAAAUAAUCUUUGAAUAUUUCUGCGGGCGUGCAGGGAACUGAAAGCUGCUGCUCAAGAAUAAGCAAGCGGCAUGCCUGGUCCCCGUGAUAAGGAGGGUUGUUUGGCUAAGAGACCUUAUCCGCGUGAAGAGUGCGGGGAGGGGAACUUGCAGUUAGGCUGCUGGAAGGUCUCUGGAUUUUAUAAGAUGUCAAAACAGCAAAUAAUAUUGAACCUUCAUUUCAAGCCUUACACCACGAUAACAUUUCAGGAGAUUGGUUGGCAGUGAGCUCUAGUGGUUAGGAGGAGAGAAAUUCAAAGUCCUGGGCAGAAGUUACUUUAUGCCUUCAGAAAUCGGGAACCUCAAAACCAAAUGGCACAAGCAAGACAAAUUAUCAGGACAGGUUGGGAGUCAAAGGUUUGAGCUAAGAAGGAUCCCACCCAUGGUAGCAGUCAGGAGACAGCUUGUUGCCCCAAACCAGCUCUCAGUGCAGUGAGUAGAGAAGACAAUGUCUAUGUGUGACUUAACCUGUUCUUUGCCAAAAGUAUGUAUCCUUCAGCCAACAGUGUGCAUGUUGCACUAUGAGAAAAGGGGAAGGGAAAGUGAACGCCAUGGGACCCGACUCUGGAAAUCCACAUGUCACUCAAGUGAUGGCAGCAAUAGAAAGCAGCCAAACUUCUGGGGGCUUCCCGGGAGUGUUUUGUCACAGUCUGACAUAAGGUGCUGGGGUGGUACUUUCCAAGCAAGCCAGUCCUAUCUUGGACCUAGGGUUAGCAGCAUAAAGUAUAAGGUCCCACAAUAUUUAAUGUUUCAUUAAGUAUUUGACGAGCACUUACCAAACACCCAGAAUUCCACAUCGGGUUGCAUAGGACAGAAUCUCUUCCCUCAAGGGGCUCCUCCUCUGCUUGGGGGACUAACAAAAUUUUUAUAUGAAAUGGCAAUGUAAUAUAUAAAUAUGUUCCAAGAUGAAGAGCAUGGGGAAAUGCUAUAAUAAAAGUCAGAAUGUUUUCUUUUUCAUUGUAUUGCUUGUAUUCUAUACUUUAAAUGACUUACUGUACAAAAGACAUUAUAUGGUGAAACACUUCCCUGACCUACGAGAUGAAUGUCUUACAAACUAAUAAUGGCUAAAGUUUCUUAUUGCUUUAGAACGUGUCCAUUUUAGUCCAAGUCAAGUGGAGUAUGGUAGAGAAGUCUCCUCACUCACUAUGCACCUUGUCCUGAGUACCCUGUUUGACAGCCCUUGAGCCUGAUUCUCCAGUUCAGUUUCUCCAGCCCUUCAGCCAACCUUGCUGUAACCAUUUUCCUAGCUCCCCACCAAGACACUAUAGAGACACCUGGGGGAGACAAUUAGAGGAAUGCAUUGAGAUUUGGUCAUUUGGACGUUAAGUUGGAUAAACCUAGAAGGUCUAAGUCAGUUGGAGACUUUCUUAAUACAUCUUUCCCUAUUUUAGAUGAACUCCUAUCCAGGGGUAGAGUUUGAAUCAGACUGGGCAGGUUUCUGUCCUUGCCAUCCAUAGAACUUGAUCAUAUUGUUAGCUCCAGAGCAUUCUGCCCCAUCUGCAGGUCAUUCUUGAUCCCUGGGUCAGUGGUGGGCAGUCUUGGCUAUCCCUCAGCCACCCGUGGGUGUUUUAACUAGAUAAGCCCAGUUCUUAUCCUUAGAGAUUCUGAUAUAGUCUGGGACUUGUGCUACAAAAUCCAUGCGUCAGAGUUGAGCCGAAGACCAGGCAUCCAGUUUAAUGUAAGGCAAAAACUUCAAACAGUUAUAACUGAUCAAUUAUAUGAUCCUUUCUGUGAACUCAUUGUUACUGAAAGUUUUCCAGCAGAGGCCAAAUUUAUGAACAAUUACUUCUCUGUCUCCAUCAUAAAACAUAACUAUACCCUAAAGCACCUUUCUACAUUAUCUCAUUAAUCUGAGCAAAUGUCCUGUGGGAGAUGUGUCAUAAUUAUUCUCAUUUUGCAAAUGAGAAAAGUGAGAUGCAGGGAGUGUAAAUUAUUUUUAAGAUCAAAUAGUCAAGAGAAGAUAAAGGCAGAGCUACUGUGAAGGUAAUUCCUGAUCUAUUACCCUGUGUGGCCUCAAUUCUGAAGCCACGCCCUGGUUCAGGGAGAUGGCUGAGAACCUAGGCCACUUAUCAGUCCAUUCAGGGACCCUUAGAUUGAAUUGGAGAUCAGAGUGCACAGGGAUGGGGUCACCACAGCCAGAGACUACUGCUGCGGGUUUUCUUUGCAAAUCCCUUCUGCUUACCCAUCUUAGGCCCUUGAUCUCUUCUGCUCAGUAGUCACUGAGGAAAUAAUUAUCACCAUUUAUGAAGGACUUACCAUGUAUCCAGGAUGUUGUGAGCUGAUUUAUAUGUGGUCAUUUAAUCAUUACAACCAUCCCAGCAGGAAGGUAUUAGAUCCAUUUCACAGAUACAGAAACUGAGGCUGAAUGUCUUGCCCAGGAUCACAUAGCAAGACUACGAAUCAAAUUCAGAUCCAUUUGUUGUGAAAGCCUGUGCCCGACAAAGAGGUCACUCUUUGGGCAGUAAUGUUUGAAGGGCAGGUAGGAUCUGUAGGAAUUAGUUGCACCUUUGGAGUCUCCCACUAUCUCCCUGUGUACACUGUGGGCAUUGUGUGGCGAGCCCAAGGGAGCACCAAAAGAUGACAUUUCAUUGGGGUAUCUCCAGCGGGAACCAUUGUUAGAUAUAAGAGGCUCUAGGAUUCCUGGAACUCAACAGGCUGUUAGGGUGAUAGCAGGUAUGGAUGCAACAUGCUCAGAUGGAAAACGUAGUGUGUGCACAUGCAAGCAUGUGUGUGCUCACACACACACACAGGUGUGCACACAUGCAUGCACACACACACACGAUUGUAUGAUAUAGAGGAUGUCAGGAGCAUGGGGUUCUGGCCCUGUCUGCCACUGUACAUUUAAGAAAGUCCUGAGAGGAAGUAGAGAAGACCUAGGGCUUUUUGAGGACAUGGUUUUACUCUUCAGAUGAAGCCUUAGAUCUUCUAAAAAGCCUUAAGAUGAACUCCUCUUCUCCUCAUCCUCCAACCUUAAGCACUUCUUGGCAACCGUGAGUCUCCUCAGGCCAUAUUCACAUCACCAACCCCUCUCCUCUCUCUGAGUGGCCUGGAGCUUCCCCGAUGGGGUCUGGGGUCUGCAGCACUGGGACGGAGGUCCAUGGGAUGCCAUAAGCUUCUGCUUCUGGGGGCAUUUAAAGGCCACUGCCACCUUUCAGAGCUCAGAAACACAGGAAAACCAAGACUUCCAAAGGGCACCCUGGUCUUCCCUUCUAUCCAUGGGAGUACAGCCUGCAUUAAAACAUGACGUGGAAAAUUGUGUCCACUUCUGGUGCUAAUUGCACUUUGAGUCCUGAAAGGUGUCAUUUGGUGUCCUACUCCCAUGCUUUCUACCACUGAUUGUGACAUGUGUGUGUCAUAUUCUCUGGCUGGGUUCUCCCCAGAGCACAGAAGCCUUUAGGGACUAGGGGCUCCAGAGAGGCAAUGCACGAUGGCAUAGACCUUUAGAGCAGGCAGCUGUCUUCAGGGGGGUGUUAGUUUAGGACAUGGCUUUGGACUCAGACAGACUUGAGUUUCAAUACUGACUCUGACCCAAGUAGCUGUGUGUUCUUGGGAAGGUCACAUGCUUCUCUGACCUUUGUUUCCUCCUCUGGAAAACAAGGGCAUUAAUGCCUGCUGUGCAAUGGCCUGAUAGAGCCUGUGCCCCGGACCUGGCAAGUGCUGAGCGGCACAGAGAUGGUGUGAUUUUAGUGGAACCGAGAAGGACCCUCGGGCCAAAACAAACCCUUUCCCAAUCAGCUUCCUGACGUGAUCUGGCCUCAACCCACCUCAACCUCAAACAGGAAGAAAGUUCUCGCUCUGCUUCUUCUUUUUUUUUUCUUUUAAGGUUUAAUUUAUCUGACAUAGAGAGAGAGAUGUGCACAAGCAGGGGGAGAGGCAGGCAGAGAGAGGGAGAAGCAGGCUCCCCGCUGAGCAGAGAGCCUAAUGUGGCUUGAUCCCAGGACCCUGGGAUCAGCGAGCUGAGCCAAAGGCAGACACUUAACUGACCGAGCCACCCACGCGCACCCUUCCUCUGCUUCUUGAAUAGCACAUGCUUUCUCCUAAUGCCAGACAUCUAUCCCUGUGUUCCCUCUCCCUAGAACGUUGUUCUCCUUGUACCUCCUCCCCGUUCAUCUGGUUAGUACCUGCCUCCAGAUGUCUUCAGAUGUCUCAGCCAUGUCGUCACCGGUGUGACUGUUUUAUUAAUGUGGGGAAGACAAACACUGUUAGAAGCCCCUUGAAGGUGCCCAUCUUACUCACUGGAGCCUGGCAUACACUGCGCCUCAGUAACUAUUUGUUGGAAGAAUGAAUGAAUGAGCGAUGCAUUCGUUUAACUUAAAGGAACAUGUUUCUCACAGGGCUAGCGCCCCCUAAAAUGUUAAGUUAUUCUGAGGGCACUCUGUCCAUGGUCAGAUACGUUGGGACACUUUGGAUAGAACAGAGUUAGACGGUUCCUUCUCUGUGGGACUUGUCAAUAUUUCAAUGUGCUAAAGUGCAUUGUGAAUUUCUAGGAGGAGGGUCAAAACCAAACAAGGAGCUUGGGGCGCCUGGGUGGCACAGCGGUUAAGCGUCUGCCUUCGGCUCAGGGCGUGAUCCCGGCGUUAUGGGAUCGAGGCCCCACAUCAGGCUCCUCCGCUGUGAGCCUGCUUCUUCCUCUCCCACUCCCCCUGCUUGUGUUCCCUCUCGCUGGCUGUCUCUAUAUCUGUCGAAUAAAUAAAUAAAAUCUUAAAAAAAAAAAAAAACCAAACAAGGAGCCAUAUUUGUCGCUUAUACCUCAUUGUGAGUGAGUUUAAUCCACACCUUGUGAAUGAGUGAGUGAGUGAUGAAGAAGCAGAAGUAGUCAUGGGCUCUGAGGAUGAGGAACUCUGCCUCUUGGCCGCCUGCCCCCGAACUCAGAGCUCACGGACUCCUGGGAGCAAAACCAAGUCAAGUCUUAUAUGUCUGAGGCAAGGGGACUGUUCACAACUCCCCCCUCACAACGGAAUCUUGGCCCAGCAAUCCCAGCCUGGACCUGAGUUCUCUUUACUGCUGUUCUUACCAGAAGACUUCUUACUUGCAUCAGCUAUGGAGGGAUUUUAUCUGUUUGUCAUCUUCAAUAAAAAAUGACUCCGGCAGCAUGGUGUAAGGUUGAUGUGUCCCAAGAAACAGACCUGUUCUCUCUCUGGUUUUGUUUUCUUUUAUUGCUUUUGAAAUCCAGCGUUCCUCCUCUCUUGCUGGCUUGGGCUACAGGGCAGUACAACUUUCCCUGAAAUGGAGUAUCUAUUUGGAGAUGAUUGAAAAAACAAAGCUGGCUAAAGGAAGGGUCAGGCCAGUCCUAAAGAGAAUUACAAUAGAAGUAAAAGGGUGACACAUAAGCCAGACGGGUAUCCGAAACUUGGCUGGUUUCUAUAUUCCGAAUGCUGACUUCUGGGACACGGUGUUUGAGGGUGAGUUUGGGGCAGUGCCCGACGCCUCAUGGUGCAUGCAGCGUGUCCACGAGGUUGGAGAAAACAGAGCCGACACGAGCCUCUGAGUCCUAGUGCUUCCAACAUGCCCCACAGUAACAGGCAUAGUAUUUAUGGGCACGGCAAAACUGCUGGGUAGGAAGAGUUUGUCUCCAGCCCUACUUUUCCACAUCUUGCUGGGGAACUGCUUCUUCACAGAAGGUUCCGUGGCUAUUUCCCACCUCGGCCUGCUGGAGGCGCUAAUUUCUUUCCAUCCCAUACAUUCAAGGUCCUGAUCCUGCUUUGAAAACGAAUGGUUUAAAAAUGCGACCUCCUCCUCGGUAAAGCAUUGGAUUUUCACAGGGGUCUUCCGGCGGACACCAAACAGUGGGCAAUCAGGCACUGGGUGGAUAUUUCAGGGUAGAUGGUCCUCCGGUUCCCUUCGAGGCCUCCGCAGAGGCAGCUGUCUGCUCCGGCUUGGUCGGGCUGGCACGGUGACAGGUCUUUGCUGUGCAGUAAAGGUGGGUGAAAGGGCAGCGGUGCACCAAGUGGAACCAAGAAUAGAAAACAGCACAUGGACGUGGUAUUUUGCCCGUGGAUUGGGGAUUACUGUCCUAAGCAGCCAGGCUUUUUCCAGUGGAGUUUUACACAAUAAAAUAAAUGUGUUCUGCACUUUUAGUGUUUAAAUAAACAUGAAGGAUUUAUUUCUAGCCAUAAUGUAAAUUGGUGAUGUGGAAAGUUAUGGAAAGAAAAUGCAUGCUAAAACUUCAGACCUCCUGGUUUCUGUCACUGCUCUGUGUGCUUAAACAACACUGAUUUCUACAUA